rnacentral:lncRNA from 1 species
GACGAUUGUGUGCCGGCCUUCCCAAAGGAGAGCGCUUCCAGCUGGAUCCAGGGCACAGGAAAUGAUCUAGCGAAAGCCUUUUGGUGACAAUUAACAGAAUUCCUGCCGAUAACUUCUUUUUUUGGUUCUGUCCCUCAGAACAAUUUCACAUCAAGCCCUAAGUGGCUGUGGAGAGGCCUUGGAGGAGUCUGAUGUCUUGUCCUCACUCUUGGCUUGGUGGAAGAAGGAAGCUGAAAGAAGGAGUGACAGGAAUGCAAGAAUGAGGACACCUGGUGAUUCACCUGGCUCAGAAUCCUCUCCCCCGGCAGUGGCCAGGGAUGGGUGUUUGAGGAGAGACGAGAACCAGGUUUGGAGCUGUUGUCUUACCCCCAGUGCUCCUGAGAGGAAACACAGAAGAGGGUCC